GUUACCAGACAGCUGGGCAACUGCAGCAGAUGUAGUAAGGGUGACAGCAAGAAGGGAGCUUGGCGUGACAUCUGGACAGAGGAAGGAGGAAAAGGAAACCUGGUGAAAAGUAGUGGGACAGUCAGAGAGAUGCAGAAAGUAGACAAGAGUACAAGGAGAUAAGGCGCAAGGUGAAUAGAGAGGUGGCGAAGACUAAAGAAAAAGCGUAUGAUGAGUUGUAUGAGAGGUUGGACACUAAGGUGGGAGAAAAGGACCUGUACCGAUUGGCUAGACAGAGGGACCGACCUGGGAAAGAUGUGCAGCAGGUUAGGGUAAUAAAGGAUAAACAUGGAAACGUACUCACAAUCGAGGAGAGAGUGUUGAGCAGAUGGAAAGAGUACUUUGAGAGGCUUAUGAAUGAAGAGAACGAGAGAGAGAAGAGUAAGGACAGCUAUGAAGAGGAUGAAGAAUAGAAAAGCCGUUGGUCCAGAU